rnacentral:rRNA from 1 species
UUUAUCUUUAGGUUAAUUUGCAAUUGAGAUAAAAAUAAUUUUGUAUAAGUAUAUUAAACAGAAAUUUUAUUUAAUAAAUGUAUGUAUAUAUAUAUAUAGUGAAUAGUACUGUAUAGGAAAAAACAAAAUUUUGAGAAUUAUAGUUUAACUCUAUUACCUUUUGUAUCAGGGUUAUUUAAAAUAUGAGUAUGAUAUAUGGAUCCCGAAUUUUUAUGAGUUAGUUUUAUGUAAAUAUUGUGUUUCAUAAUAAUUUUAAUAUAGGGCUGGAGGUGAAAUGUCAUUCGAAUAGGAUUAUAUCUGGUUAAUAAAAUUUUAUUUUAAAUAUUAUAUUAUGUUUUUAAUAUUUUUUGUGCAGGGAUAAGCUUGUAUUAUUAUUAUUUAUAAGUAUAAUAGUAUAGGUUUGAAAGUAACCAUUAUAAUAAAAGAUUUAUAUCUUUUUAGUAUUGAUUUUUUAUUAAUUUUUAUUUGGGUUUUUUUAUAGUUAAUAAGUGGAAAUAAUGAAUGAAUUAGUAAGGGUAUUAUAUUUUUAUUAUUUAGUAUUAUAUGUUUAUUAGGAAUUCGGCAAUAAUUUUUCUUGCCUGUUUAUCAAAGACAUGGUCUUAUGGAUGUAGUAUGUAAGAUUUGACCUGCUCUAUGUAUAAUAAAUGGCCGCGGUAUAUUGACCGUGCGAAGGUAGCAUAAUAAUUAGGCUAUUAAUUGUGGUCUUGAAUGAAAGGUUGGACGAGGGAAAUACUUUCUUAUUUGCAUUGUUGAAUUUAAAUAAUUAGUAAAAAUGCUAAUAUAAUGUAAAAAGACGAGAAGACCCUGUUGAGUUUUAUAUUUAAAAUAAAUAUAUAUAUAUAUUGGGGUUUGUUUUGUUUUAUAAUAUUUGAUUGGGGCGAUUAGAUAAAUAAACAAUUUAUUAUUAUGAUUAUAAUUUUUUGAUCCGCUAUUAGUGAUUGAUAGAAUAAAUUACCACAGGGAUAACAGCAUAAUUUGAUUGGAGAGUUCUUAUUGAUAUUCAAGUUUGUGACCUCGAUGUUGGAUUAAGAUUCCUUCUAGGUGCAGGUGCUUAAGUAGGUAGACUGUUCGUCUAUUAAAUUCUUACAUGAUCUGAGUUCAGACCGGCGUGAGCCAGGUUGGUUUUUAUCUUUUAUAUUAGAGUGAUUAUUAUAGUACGCAAGGAUUUAAUAAUCUUAAUUUUUAAUUUUAAUUAUAUUUUAUUUGGAAGAUAGCAUAGU